GAAGAGCGCAUAUGGUCGGAGCUUCCUUCAAUACUGUCCAGUGCAGAAGUGAAGUGUGGAGAAACUUAAACGAUGGUUGAAAUAAUGCGGAGGAUUCAUUAGGAAGGCAGCGCUGGAUUAAAGUGGGGUCAGGAGGGGUGCUGGUUCCUAUCUCCAGCUAACGUUCCGGGCGAGCAGGUUGAAAGUUAUAAAUAUAAAAUCAGGAAAGAAGUCUGUCAAUGGAGCACAUCAUAUCAAAGAAGCAGCUCCUGAAGGUUUCUUCAUUUAGAGACAUCCUCUCUGCAAAUCCUCCCCUCCCUCUCUCGAUCUUUUCGUGAGAAGUCGGAGCAACACAGAGCUGUCGGGGCAGAACCUCGACACGUGAUGGUUGCACUGUAACAAUAAAUCCUCCACAGCUCAUCUUACCACCCAACACUUCCCUCUGUCUCACACAAACCUUUCUGGGAGCACAGGUAGCUUCACGCCUCACAGAAGCAAAGAAA